rnacentral:lncRNA from 1 species
GUGGGGAUGUGUGAAAGUGUGUGUAUCAAGUGUGUGCAUGUCUGUGUGAAUUGGGGUGUAUCAAGUGUGUGUAUGUGUGUGAAUUGUGUGUGUGCAUGUAUCAACUGUGUGUGAAUGUGCAUGGGUGUGUAUCAAGUGUGUGCAUGUGUGAAAAUGUGUGAAUGUGUGUGGGUGUUUAUGUAUCAAGUGUGUGCAUGGAUGUGUGUGCAAAUUGUGUAUCAAGUGUGUGGAUGUGCACGAGUAUGUGUGUAUUGUGUGCGUGUGUGUGAAGGUACUGGGUGUGUGUGUAUAUGAGUGUGUGCACGCACAAAUAUGCAUAAGCAUGUGUAUAUCGAGUGUGUGCAUGUGUGUGUGAAGGUAUAUAGGUGUGUGUGUAUCUGAGUGUGUCCAUGUGUAUGUGUGAAUGUGCAUGGGUAUGUGUGUAUUGAGUGUGUGCAUGUGUGUGUGAAGGUACCGGGUGUGCGUGUAUCCGAAUGUGUGCAUAUGUGUAAACGUGUGACUAUGGAUGAGCACGUGUGUGUUGAGUGUGUGCAUGUGUGUAUAGGUGUGUGAGCGUGUGUGUGAGAGAAUAGGCAUGGCUGUGUGUCGAGUAUGUGCAUGUGUGUGUAUAGGUGUGUGUGUGUGAGAAUAGGCAUGGGUGUGUGUCAUGUGCAUGUGUGUGUAUAGGUGUGUGAGCGAAUAGGCAUGGGUGUGUGUGUUGAGUAUGUGCAUGUGUGUGUAUAGGGGUGUGUGUGAGAAUUAGGCAUGGGUGUGUGUGUCGAGUGUGUGCAUGUGUGUAUAGGUGUGUGUGAGAAUAGGCAUGGGUGUGUGUGUCAUGUGUGCAUGUGUGUGUGUGUGAGAAUAGGCAUGGGUGUGUCGAGUGUGUGUGUAUAGGUGUUUGAGUGUGUGUGAGAAUAGGCAUGGGUGUGUCAAGUGUGUGCAUGCGUAUAGGUGUAUGAGUGUGUGUGAGAGAAUAGGCAUGGGUGUGUCGAGUGUGUGCAUGUGUGUAUAGGUAUGUGAGUGUGUGUGAGAAUAGGCAUGGGUGUGUGUCAAGUGUGUGUGUAUAGGUGUGUGUGAAUAGGCAUGAGGGUGUGUGUCGAGUGUGUGCAUGUGUGUAUAGGUGUAUGAGUGUGUGUGUGAGAAUAGGCAUGGGUGUGUGUAUCCAAGUGUUUGCAUGUGUAUGUGUGAGAGUUUGUAUGUGAGUGGGGUGGGUGUGAAUGUGUGUACAUGCGUGAGGGAGUGGGGUGGCUGUGAAGAGUGUGUGUGAGAGUGCAUGUGUGUUGUGCGUGCACACAUGCUUCAGGAGGAUGGUUUCCACUGAGAGAGUCUGGGGAUGAGUGGAGAGAAAUUUCCGGUGGGAUCAGAAGGUUCCUGCCUCUCAGACUGCAAGUUUCAG